CUCGUAGUUGAAUUUCUGGGAGGUUUUGAUGUGUGUUAUUUUUGAUGUUUACAUUUUGAAUAAUAUGCCGCCUUCCAUCUUGUGGAAAAACUAGUUGAUUUUUUUUAAACGAGAAAUUAAUUAGCCACUCCGUCACUGAGAGCAAAUUGGAGUGCUCAAAGCAGGCUUUAUAGCUUUGAACAUUUUAGCUUGGAAUGACAAGAUAUGACCUUUGUUUUAUUUUGUUGGUUAUGAAAUAAAAGUAAUGAUUAACAGGAACAGUUGCGGGGGUACUCGUAUUGAAAGGUCAGAGGUGAAAUUCUUGGAUUCUUUCAAGACGAGCGACUGCGAAAGCAUUUACCAAGGAUGUUUUCAUUAAUCAAGAACGAAAGCUCGGGGAUCGAAGAUGAUUAGAUACCAUCGUAGUCCGACGCCACAAACGAUGCCGGCUCGGGGUUGUUUUUCAUUCUAAUCAAAAACGAAUGAAAGCAGUACCGUAUGAGAAAUCAAAGUCUUUGGGUUCCGGGGGGAGUAUGGUCGCAAGGCUGAAACUUAAAGGAAUUGACGGAAGGGCACACCAGAGGUGGAGCCUGCGGUUUAAUUUGACCCAACACGGGGAAACUUACCAGGUCCAGACAUGAUGAGGAUUGACAGUUUGAAAGCACUUUCUUGAUUUCAUGGGUGGUGGUGCAUGGCCGUUCUUAGUUGGUGGAGUGAUUUGUCUGGUUGAUUCCGAUAACGAACGAGACGGGGGGAAUUUACUAGUUUUCGUAUGUAACUCACGUUACAUCAAACUUCUUUAUUCGACAACUUGGUUUUACCAAGAGGAAGCACCCCGCAAUAACUGGUCUGUGAUGCCCUUAGAUGUUCUGGGCUACACGCGCGCUACAAUGACGAAUUCAACGAGUUUUUUUACAUUCCUUAUCCGGAAGGAUGUGGGUAAUCUUUUCAAUGUUCGUCGUGAUGGGGCUAGAUUUUUGCAAUUAUUAAUCUUCAACGAGGAAUCUCUAGUAUGUGCAAGUCAUCAGCUUGCGCAGAAUGCGUCCCUGCCCUUUGUGCACACCGCCCGUCGCACCUACCGAUUGGACGAUCCGGCAAGACGUUUGGAGUUGUGAUUUUUUGAUUAGUAAUAGUUGAGAGAUUAUGACAAAGCUCUUCAAACCUUAUCGUCUGGAGGAAGGUGAAGU
rnacentral:rRNA from 1 species